CCUACGGGGUGCAGCAGUGAGGAAUAUUGGUCAAUGGACGCAAGUCUGAACCAGCCAUGCCGCGUGCAGGAAGACGGCUCUAUGAGUUGUAAACUGCUUUUGUACGAGGGUAAACGCAGAUACGCGUAUCUGUCUGAAAGUAUCGUACGAAUAAGGAUCGGCUAACUCCGUGCCAGCAGCCGCGGUAAUACGGAGGAUUCAAGCGUUAUCCGGAUUUAUUGGGUUUAAAGGGUGCGUAGGCGGUCGGAUAAGUUAGAGGUGAAAUCCCGAGGCUCAACUUCGGAAUUGCCGCUGAUACUGGUAGGCUAGAGAGUAGUUGCGGUAGGCGGAAUGUAUGGUGUAGCGGUGAAAUGCUUAGAGAUCAUACAGAACACCGAUUGCGAAGGCAGCUUACCAGGCUACUUCUGACGUUGAGGCACGAAAGCGUGGGGAGCAAACAGGAUUAGAUACCCCAGUAGUC
rnacentral:rRNA from 1 species